UGUCUUUUUGGCCUCCUCCUAGGAUAACGGCACGGAGAGCAGGAAGGGGAUAAAGUGGCCCAGCCCUCUCACCUUAAGCCUUCCGAGGGCGCGAGCUGGUGUUUUAUGUGCGUGUGAGGAGCGGUUGAAAGCAGAGGCGAGUGGGAGAGUGGAAGGCGAGAACUCAGGUUCGAAACCUACUUCUGAAGCAACUUAUUGUCAUACUCCCUGGGCCUCAGUUUCCUGGCCUGAAAAAGGAGAGUCUCUCUCUGCUCGAGGUCCGUGAGCCGUGG
rnacentral:lncRNA from 1 species